GAGAGAGAGAGAGAGAGAGAGAGAGAGAGAAUAAAGUAGGGUUCUUUUACUGUGGGUGUAACACAAUGAGAAGCAGCUGUGAGUCAGGGCCAGGGAACACAUCCCAGUCAGGGUGGGAAAAUGCAUUGUUGUUAAAUUCAGCCAAGCGUGCCCCUAGGGAGCUGGGUCCUCACAGAAUGACUGUGGGACUUUUCCUCAGGGAAAAGCAGGUCACUUGGUCAUGGAGCAGUGCCUUUCCGUGAGCAAACACUUCAAUGUGAACAUGUUAGUCCCUUUGCAGACAGACAGCUCGUGUUCAGUGAAGACGCAGGAAGGAGUGAUCAAUCUGGGAAGCCUUUGAACAAAGUCCUGGGACGAGCCCGAGUGGAGCACAGGUGGGCAUCGGAAGGUAGGAGCUGUGUAUGGAUGAAUGGGUUCCAUCCAGGCAGCUUCCACAGCCCCAGAACCUCAUGAGAACAGAGACAGUCAGCAAGCGAGACCCAGCAGGCUCUGCAUUAAGCCGCCUGGUGCCUGGACAUUUCAGCCUCUACCCACAGGAGCGAAGCGACACCAGCAAGCUGGGCAGGGGCACAGGAGAAG